rnacentral:sRNA from 1 species
GCUGGGUAUGGUGGCACAUGCCUGUAAUCUUAGUGACUCUGGAGGCUGAGGCAGGAGGAUAGUGAAUUCAAAGCCAGCCUCAG